AUGAGAAGGAAACACACGUGGGAGAGAGAUGAGAGAGGGAAAGAGAGGAAGAGGUCAAUUCGGCGGAGACAGGAAAGGGACGGCGGCCCACGGCGGAAGGAGACGUUGUUAGGGGAAGUUUCCGACAAGAACAGCUUGCAUGCACGGUGGCCCACGUGCUCCGUACCCACCACCGUCGCGCGUGUUCCGCUUGAUAGCUACUCAUCUCUUCUUUUCCUUCUUCCACAGUUUCAGCGCGUUUGUUUAUACGCGCCUAUGUCAGUGUCUUGUCUAGGAUGA